rnacentral:rRNA from 1 species
AUUGAACGCUGGCGGCAGGCUUAACACAUGCAAGUCGAGCGGGGUGAUGGUGCUUGCACUAUCACUUAGCGGCGGACGGGUGAGUAAUGCUUAGGAAUUUGCCUAUUAGUGGGGGACAACAUCUCGAAAGGGAUGCUAAUACCGCAUACGUCCUACGGGAGAAAGCAGGGGAUCACUUGUGACCUUGCGCUAAUAGAUGAGCCUAAGUCGGAUUAGCUAGUUGGUGGGGUAAAGGCCUACCAAGGCGACGAUCUGUAGCGGGUCUGAGAGGAUGAGCCGCCAAACUGGGAAUGAGACGAGGCCCAGACUCCUACGGGAGGCAGCAGUGGGGAAUAUUGGACAAUGGGGGGAACCCUGAUCCAGCCAUGCCGCGUGUGUGAAGAAGGCCUUAUGGUUGUAAAGCACUUUAAGCGAGGAGGAGGCUCUUUUGGUUAAUACCCAAGAUGAGUGGACGUUACUCGCAGAAUAAGCACCGGCUAACUCUGUGCCAGCAGCCGCGGUAA